AAAUACUCUCUAGUGACCGAUAGUGAACCAGUACCGUGAGGGAAAGGUGAAAAGCACCCCGGAAGGGGAGUGAAAUAGAACCUGAAACCGUGUGCUUACAAGUAGUCAGAGCCCGUUAAUGGGUGAUGGCGUGCCUUUUGUAGAAUGAACCGGCGAGUUACGAUUUGAUGCAAGGUUAAGCAGUAAAUGUGGAGCCGUAGCGAAAGCGAGUCUGAAUAGGGCGUUUAGUAUUUGGUCGUAGACCCGAAACCAGGUGAUCUACCCUUGGUCAGGUUGAAGUUCAGGUAACACUGAAUGGAGGACCGAACCGACUUACGUUGAAAAGUGAGCGGAUGAACUGAGGGUAGCGGAGAAAUUCCAAUCGAACCUGGAGAUAGCUGGUUCUCUCCGAAAUAGCUUUAGGGCUAGCCUCAAGUGAUGAUUAUUGGAGGUAGAGCACUGUUUGGACGAGGGGCCCCUCUCGGGUUACCGAAUUCAGACAAACUCCGAAUGCCAAUUAAUUUAACUUGGGAGUCAGAACAUGGGUGAUAAGGUCCGUGUUCGAAAGGGAAACAGCCCAGACCACCAGCUAAGGUCCCAAAAUAUAUGUUAAGUG
rnacentral:rRNA from 1 species